AAAAGUUUAACUUUUCAAUAAAAAGAAAGGGCAAAAAAUGAAAUUUUAAACACUUUCCACAUAAAAACUUACAUCUGUUGACAAAUAGUAUCAUUGGAUUUCAUAUCAAACUUAGCAUAAACAUUUGUCAAUUUGAUCAAUUUUUGUCAUUAAGAAAACCCCACUUUAAUUAAGAACCAAGACUCUUAAAAAAAUUAAUUAAACCUUUAGUGAUCUAACCACUUUUAGAAAGUUGUAAUAAUACAGUUUG
rnacentral:lncRNA from 1 species